ACAAGCAGAGGAGCAUGUGGCUUAAUUCGAUGCAACGCGAAGAACCUUACCCGGGUUUGACAUGUGACUGCACGGCCUGUGAAAGCAGGCCUCCUUCGAGGGUGUCACACAGGUGCUGCAUGGCUGUCGUCAGUUCGUGCCGUGAGGUGUUUGGUUAAGUCCAGCAACGAACGCAACCCCUGUGUCCAGUUGCCAGCGCGCAAAGGCGGGAACUCUGGACAGACUGCCCGUUCACACGGGAGGAAGGUGGGGAUGACGUCAAGUCAGUAUGGCCCUUACAUCCGGGGCUGCACACGUGCUACAAUGGCCGGCACAAAGGGAAGCUUGACCGCGAGGUUUGGCCAACCCCCAAAACCGGCCCCAGUUCAGAUUGGGGUCUGCAACCCGACCCCAUGAAGUCGGAUUUGCUAGUAACGGCGCAUCAGCUACGGCGCCGUGAAUACGUUCCCGGGCCUU
rnacentral:rRNA from 1 species